AUUGAACGCUGGCGGCAGGCCUAACACAUGCAAGUCGAACGAGUGGCGGACGGGUGAGUAAUGUCUGGGAAACUGCCUGAUGGAGGGGGAUAACUACUGGAAACGGUAGCUAAUACCGCAUACCAUCGGAUGUGCCCAGAUGGGAUUAGCUAGUAGGGGGGGUAAAGGCUCACCUAGGCGACGAUCCCUAGCUGGUCUGAGAGGAUGACCAGCCACACUGGGACUGAGACACGGUCCAGACUCCUACGGGAGGCAGCAGUGGGGAAUAUUGCACAAUGGGCGCAAGCCUGAUGCAGCCAUGCCGCGUGUAUGAAGAAGGCCUUAGGGUUGUAAAGUACUGUCAGCGGGGAGGCGUUACCCGCAGAAGAAGCACCGGCUAACUCCGUGCCAGCAGCCGCGGUAAUUC
rnacentral:rRNA from 1 species